GACGAACGCUGGCGGCGUGCUUAACACAUGCAAGUCGAACGAUGAAGUUCCUUCGGGAAUGGAUUAGUGGCGAACGGGUGAGGAACACGUGAGAAACCUGCCUUUCAUUUUGGGAUAACUCCGGGAAACCGGGGCUAAAACCGAAUACUCCGUCUCGGCGGCAUCGCUAAGCCGGGAAAACAUUUUGAUGAAAGAUGGUCUCGCGGCCUAUCAGCUAGUUGGUGAGGGAAUGGCUCACCAAGGCAACGACGGGUAGCCGGCCUGAGAGGGCGAGCGGCCACACUGGGACUGAGACACGGCCCAGACUCCUACGGGAGGCAGCAGUGGGGAAUAUUGGGCAAUGGGCGCAAGCCUGACCCAGCGACGCCGCGUGAGGGAUGAAGGCCUUCGGGUUGUAAACCUCUUUCAGUAGGGAAGAAGCGAAAGUGACGGUACCUAAAGAAGAAGCACCGGCUAACUAUGUGCCAGCCGCCGCCGUAA
rnacentral:rRNA from 1 species